rnacentral:rRNA from 1 species
AUUGAACGCUGGCGGCAGGCCUAACACAUGCAAGUCGAGCGGAUGAAGGGAGCUUGCUCCUGGGUUCAGCGGCGGACGGGUGAGUAAUGCCUAGGAAUCUGCCUGGUAGUGGGGGAUAACGACCGGAAACGGGAGCUAAUACCGCAUACGUCCUGCGGGAGAAAGUGGGGGAUCUUCGGACCUCACGCUAUCAGAUGAGCCUAGGUCGGAUUAGCUAGUUGGUGGGGUAAAGGCCUACCAAGGCGACGAUCCGUAACUGGUCUGAGAGGAUGAUCAGUCACACUGGAACUGAGACACGGUCCAGACUCCUACGGGAGGCAGCAGUGGGGAAUAUUGGACAAUGGGCGAAAGCCUGAUCCAGCCAUGCCGCGUGUGUGAUGAAGGUCUUCGGAUUGUAAAGCACUUUAAGUUGGGAGGAAGGGCAGUAAGUUAAUACCUUGCUGUUUUGACGUUACCAACAGAAUAAGCACCGGCUAACUACGUG